CCUACGGGAGGCAGCAGUGAGGAAUAUUGGUCAAUGGACGAGAGUCUGAACCAGCCAAGUAGCGUGAAGGAUGACUGCCCUAUGGGUUGUAAACUUCUUUUAUAUGGGAAUAAAAUGUUCCACGUGUGGGAUUUUGUAUGUACCAUAUGAAUAAGGAUCGGCUAACUCCGUGCCAGCAGCCGCGGUAAUACGGAGGAUCCGAGCGUUAUCCGGAUUUAUUGGGUUUAAAGGGUGCGUAGGUGGAUUGUUAAGUCAGUUGUGAAAUUUUGCGGCUCAACCGUAAAAUUGCAGUUGAAACUGGCAGUCUUGAGUACAGUAGAGGUGGGCGGAAUGCGUGGUGUAGCGGUGAAAUGCUUAGAUAUCACGAAGAACUCCGAUUGCGAAGGCAGCUCACUGGACUGCAACUGACACUGAGGCUCGAAAGUGUGGGUAUCAAACAGGAUUAGAUACCCGAGUAGUC
rnacentral:rRNA from 1 species